AACAAAACGAUUACCCUGAACGGUGGAUCACUUGGCUUGCGGGUCGAUGAAGAACGCAGUUAACUGCG
rnacentral:rRNA from 1 species